ensembl:lncRNA
ACUGAGCCCUCCCAUGUGCGCUAUGAAAAUGAUGAGAACGAUUUCCAAGGCUAUGAGCGGCGUCUGAUGAGAGAAGCAACAGAGAGGAACCUCAGAAUUAAACUGAUUGGUCUGGAGGGGAAGCUUCUCUUCAGACCUUGAUGUGGAUGAAAUCUAUAUUUUAACUACACUCAAAACAGGGCAGAAAUGUAGCUGACCGGAACCUCCAACAUCUCAGCCCUUUCCUUCAAAUUGCAAAGACAACUUUAAUAUUCGAGUUGCGGGGGAGAUGCUCCUCAGGCAGUGGGGGAUCAUCUGCUGCCUCACGGUCAGGUGGGAAGGGGAGACCUCAAAGACAGCGAGGGAUGGAAACAAGUCCUUGUUUGGGGCAACAAGCGGACUGCCCCUCAGCCUGUCCAACCUUCCCAGGUGCCCUUACAUAACAGAUGUGUCUAUGACUACGACUAUGACUACAAGCCACAGUUGUUAUGGGGAUAUCAAGGAAAGUGAUGCGCAGUGUCCCCACAAGGGGAUACCCAUGGUCACAAGUAGCAAAUGCUACUGAAUGAGAACUGAACAGCUGCACCAGGCAGAGCCCACAGAUGCAAACAAACUCACUUGGGAAAGAUAAUCACACAUCCUGAGAAGGUCAAAGAGGCCACAGCUGCCACUGGGGAUACAGUCAUGUCCAUCAGCCAGAGGAUCUGCAAUGGAGGAUACCUCAAGUCAUCAAGGGAGACCAAGGGACCCAUUUUACUGGUGCAAUGAUACAGCACUGGGCAGAAGAAAAUAACAUUGAAUGGCGAUUGCACCUGCCAUAUAAUCCAACAGAGGCGAGCCUCAUUGAACAUUAUAAUGGUAUUCUUCAGGCUGCCCUGAAGUCCCAGGGGUGGACAAAGAGACUAUGAAACCCUGCAGGAUUUGAAUGAAAGACCUUGAGACGGCAGACCCAGUGCCCUGACAGUGCUACAGACAACAUGGACCUCCCUGCUUAGGAUCCAAAUUACGGGCACUGAUAAUCAGGUAAGACCCCAGAUUGGCAAUGAAAAUAAUCUUCUGCUGCCUGCCCCUGAGAAUUUACAUCUGGGCACCCAUAGAAUAAAAUAGCCUUGGAAGGUGCAGGUAGGACCUAAAUGGUGUGGGCUACUUGCACCCUGGGGGAGAUUAUUGGAGGUGGGAGGCUCAGUAGUCCCUCCAGUAAUAGGUACAUGGCCUAUGGAUAUUGUGGUCAACACUCCAAUCUUCACUGCUAAAAGGACCUCCAUCAUGUCCCUAUGGCAGAUCAGGACACCCCCUUUGGUGCCUAACAUAGUUGUGAAGCUGCAGACAUCUGGCCAAAUGGUAUGGUACAGGCAGCUGGGGCAUGCCCCAGUACAAGCUGAAGUGUUGACCCAGGAUAGAAAUACAGCCUUUAUCUUCCCCUGGAGGGCAGACCUUCCCCUCCUGCUAUCUUUGAAACAUCUGUAUUACUUCCCGUGAGUCUUUGAGCCUCCAGAACCAUCGGAAGGAACAAAACGUCAUCAAAGUGUUCCAGUGUUACUGCCAGAUCAUGUGUGACACUCAGUGAUGGUCAACAUGGGACUAAUGAAACAUAGGAUGGACUUGCACCUCACGACUACAUGCCUCAAGUAACAUCAUCAAGCACUGGCCCACAGAAGAACGUGAACUUGCACCGAUCAUCACUUGCAAUGUGAUGAUUGUGAAUGUCAAUAUACACUGUGACAGGAAAUUGUAUCAGCAUCGUGAUGUGUUGGAUCUCUGUAGUAGGAAAGACUCACUCAUUUGUUAACUCAAUCAUUGGUUCAUGCUGUGAAGGGGUGGAUUGUAUGGGAACUGUUGAAUCGUGGCCCAAACCUCUGAUUGACCAUCGAGGCAAACACUGAGUCAGCUGUAGGAGCAUAUGUGAAGGCAGUUCAGCUGUAUGACCAAAAGAGGUGGAGCCAGGCUACACCUCUCCUAGACCCCAUUUAAGAGCUGACUGCCAGUGACGAAGGAUCUGUCUCUAGAGAUUCCUC